rnacentral:misc_RNA from 1 species
UGAUGAUCGCACGCUAAAAGAAGAUACCUGCAUCCUUCUACACCUCUUGUAAACUUCGCCAAUCUAGCCACGUGUCCGGAGAGCUGGUGUGCCCUAGGCACCGCUCUCGGUCUUGGUCCCGCUCCUUCCCCUCUCACCACUUCGACACUAUUUUGUUUGCCGUCGAAAAGGAGGAGUGAAACAUGCAGGGAGCAGUCAGGAUGGAGGCAGGCACACACUUUAUUUUCCAGUACUCCACUCGUGAGGGUUACUCUUGCCUAGAGCGGGAUGUGAUGUCCCGCAACUACUCGCUCAUUACCCCUGCGUAUGGUUGCAGCCUUGUCAAGGCCGUGCUUAGUGCGUUGGAAGAUGCCGCCGCUCACGCGCCGGUGGAGAUCGACGCCACGGUGAAGAUCCAAUCGACAUUUCGAAUGUAUCAGCAGCGGAAGGCAUUCUUGAUGUUGCGGCAUCACGCCCGCCUCAUUCAGCGCGUGUAUCGCGGCUACGCAACGCGUAAGCGCCUUAACAUGGAGCGGGCGACAGUGAGACAGAUGACCUACCUACAAACGGUUUUCGACAUGUUCGCUACGCGGAUUCAGGCAUGUUACCGUGGUUACCAGAGUCGCAAAACAAGGUCGAACUACUACGCACAGCAAGCGUACCUGAAUGUGGUAAUAGCACGCUCGUCAGAGGUGCUUGCACAGGCACUUAGCACUCAAAUAGAGCAGGACGGCUUGCGCAGCGCGGAGGCAAAGCGCGCGCGCGACCUCUCCUAUGCCCACCGCACGGCCCACAUGCACUACAUGGUGUCGACCUGUAGUGUUCCCAGUGUGUAUCAACCUUUUGCGGCGCCUUCGACGGCAAAUCAGUCUACGCCGAACACCUCGCACACUUGCAGGGAGGUACGCGGCCACAGUGAGGAGUGUAGCUUGGUGAGCCCGAUACCACCCGCCGUGAAGUCGGCUGGGGAGGGUUCCGACGGCUGCGCCACAAAUGAUAAGCUGAUGGCGCGGGCCGCCGCCUACGCCUCAGGUCAAAAGCUGGAGGACGACAUUCGGCGCCACGCCCGUGCAGCACGUUUGGAGCGCAACACUGUCAAGGCUAAAGCAAGCCACGGUCCAGCCGACCUCACUGUUCCCGCAACGGCUUCAUCCCCGUCGCCCUACAAGAUGAUCGCGGCGGGGCCAGAGACGGAGGGGGCUUCAGUGAGCGCGACAUCUCAGGCUUCAGGCACACGAUUGCCAGCGUUGACGCCUUCGCAGCCUGCGCAGCGCAGUCAUCCGGUCAACUCUACCGCUCCAGCGGCGACAGCGACGGUGCCGUGGGAGGUCUCGUCAGCCCGUCCGCCGCAGAAACUGCUCGUACCUCGAGUACCUCCUCUCACAGGUCCAUCUUUCAGCCAGACGGCGCCGCCGGCUACAUCUUCUCGCACAACUCGAGCCGGCCGAAAGCCCCGCAAAGCGCAACAGGCUGCUGAGGAUGACAGCUUUCACGCCGCUGGAACGGCUGCCGUCCCAACUGCUGGGCCGGCUCCCUCCGCAGCCAGCAUCGACCCAUCGAUGUCACGCGCUGCCGUCUCGUCUUUCCACCGCCGCUUCGCCGUAAAGCGGCAUGACUGUCUAGAGCAUCAGCUGAGCAUCGCCAACGGAGUUGUGAGCGAUGGCAACGGCUCGCGUGCCUUGAGUAGCGCUCUGUUGUCAGCGAAGGAGGAUGCAGCCGUACAACGUAGCGUCGACCACAAGGUGAUGCAGGGGCUGCACGGCGAUGCCAUAUUCAAGGUGUCCGCACGGCGAGGGGUGCAAUAGGAUGGCGGCGCAACCAGAGAGGUGGUGUGCGUAUGUAGAAAAGUAUCACGAAUGGUAGUGGUGAUUCCUGACGGCCACACGGUUUCCUGAACGCUGAGCUGAUUGGCGAAGGUUACAAAAAUGCCGCAUCCCGUCGCGUCUUCCGCUCAUAAACCCCGCCACACACCUCCCCCGACGGAGCUUUUUUUCCUCAUUCUGCGCUCACACAUGUACAAAGAUGACAGCUUUCUUUUUCGCCUUAUUUUUUUCGUUGUUUUUGGCUUCCCUACUCAGUGACGGUUGAUGGAGCCCCUCUGGUGCUUACCUAUCGCCUCUGCUGUGUGUCUCUGUUUGUCGGCGUGUGUCCGGUAUUGUGCACGCGGAAGAAACAAGAAGAAAAGAGCACUAAACGAAGACGAAGACACCGCUGGAAGCACACACAGCAGCUGUACCUGGCGUCACAGGGAGUGGGGAGACGCUCGUCCCUUCUGCUCCUGAGAGUUCAGCAUCGCGGUAACCCUGAGCCGGCCACCGUCACCACCCCUUCGUCUACCGCGCUACGCCUCAGCAAAACUGGCAGUCGUGCACCAACAGCUGCAUGCUCAGAAGUGGCGCACGUACUGGCGUGUGAUGCUGGCCACGCGCCACGAACAACUUCAACCAAGAAGAAUGAGUAGGAGGCGGAGGGGCACGCUCAAAGAAGACGUAAGGUGACCUGCUUCACCUCAGUGUGCUGGUGCGCUCCAGCUGUUCAUUUUCAGUCUCCUCUAUCAGGCCGCUAUUUUCGCGUAAGCACAGACGCUUCCACCCCACGCCGUCCCCAAGCACCACAAAAGCCCCAAUUGCGACUUAUUUGUAUCGAGCUCUCUGUCUUCUUCCUUUCGUACUUUGGUGCUCCCUUUCUAG